GCGAAAGGCAUGGGGGAGGCAAACAGGAUUAGAUACCCUGGUAGUUCCAUGCCGGUAAAACGAUGUCUACUAGCCGUUGGGGGAUUUGAUCCUUUAGUGGCGCAGCUAACGCGAUAAGUAGACCGCCUGGGGAGUACGGUCGCAAGACUAAAACUCAAAUGAAUUGACGGGGGCCCGCACAAGCGGUGGAGCAUGUGGUUUAAUUCGAUGCAACGCGAAGAACCUUACCUGGCCUUGACAUAGUAGAGACUUUUCCAGAGAUGGAAAGGUGCCUUCGGGAAUCUACAUACAGGUGCUGCAUGGCUGUCGUCAGCUCGUGUCGUGAGAUGUUGGGUUAAGUCCCGCAACGAGCGCAACCCUUUUCCUUACUUGCCAGCAUUUCGGAUGGGAACUUUAAGGAUACUGCCAGUGACAAACUGGAGGAAGGCGGGGACGACGUCAAGUCAUCAUGGCCCUUACGGCCAGGGCUACACACGUGCUACAAUGGUCGGUACAAAGGGUUGCUACACAGCGAUGUGAUGCUAAUCUCAAAAAGCCGAUCGUAGUCCGGAUCGCAGUCUGCAACUCGACUGCGUGAAGUCGGAAUCGCUAGUAAUCGCGGAUCAGAAUGCCGCGGUGAAUACGUUCCCGGGCCUUGUACACACCGCCCGUCACACCAUGGGAGUUUGUUGCACCAGAAGUAGGUAGUCUAACCGCAAGGAGGACGCUUACCACGGUGUGGCCGAUGACUG
rnacentral:rRNA from 1 species